rnacentral:rRNA from 1 species
UCUUGCGCAAUGCGCGAAAGCGUGACGCAGCAACGCCGCGUGGGGGAAGAAGGCCUUCGGGUUGUAAACCCCUUUCAGGGGGGACGAAGGUGUGACGGUGAAUAGCCGAUCGCACUGACGGUACCCCCAGAAGAAGCUCCGGCUAACUACGUGCCAGCAGCCGCGGUAAUACGUAGGGAGCAAGCGUUGUCCGGAAUCAUUGGGCGUAAAGCGCGCGUAGGCGGCCCGGUAAGUCCGCUCUGAAAGUCCAGGGCUCAACCCUGGAAUGCGGGUGGAUACUGCCGGGCUAGAGUCCGGAAGAGGCGAGUGGAAUUCCUGGUGUAGCGGUGGAAUGCGCAGAUAUCAGGAGGAACACCAAUAGCGUAGGCAGCUCGCUGGGACGGUACUGACGCUAAGGCGCGAAAGCGUGGGGAGCGAAC